UUAAUAAGAAAACAUGUCAUCUACUAUAUUAAAAUAUAAACGCCAUAGCUUAUGAAUUUUGUAACCAAUUUCAUACGUCAUCUAUAUGAUGAAUUUAUUAUUUAUGAAUGACAUAUCACAAAAAUUGAACUCGUUUAAAAAUUAGCACUUGUCAUCUAUUUUCUCAAAAUAUAUAUUGACGGUCUGUCACACGUAUUUUAUAGACUUCUGCUAUGUCAUAUAUCAAAUGAAGUUAAUUAUAAGUGAUCGUGCUAUAUCUAAAAUGCCAAAAACUUUUUUUUCUAUUUCUUUCUACCAACUUAAUACUGAUUAGCAAAUCACUCUUUGUUUCUUGCAAUUGUAUUUUUUUCAUCGACUAUCAACAAUCAAAUUUUUUCAUGAUAGAUCAUUAUCCUCUACUUAUUGGUGAAUAGGCUCAAAUUUCUCUUGUAAAAAGUAGGUUGCUAAUCACUAUAUAUAUAAACGUGUACAUGGUGAUCGGGUUCACAUGUACAUUGGUUUUCUUUGCAAGUAAACACUUUAUAAUGAGAAUGAAAUGGAAGGUCAGUUAAGAAUUGAGUGUUAUUAGGGGUUUAAGUAGAAUUGGGUGCUUGGUUCGAGUUAAAUUGAGUUGAACCCAAAAAUUAUUUCAAUUUUUAGUUUGAUUUAAUUCAAUCCUAAAAAUCGAUUGGCUUGAAAAUAAAAAACUAAUUGGGUUUAAAUUUGAUUUGGAUUAAAACCAAACCAAACAAUAAACCCAAUCAAGUUUUAUAAAAAAAAUUAAAAAAAAAAACUAAGGUGAUGUCAAACUCGAUCCCCAAGUCAAAAAUAAAAACCCUAAACUACAUGUUAUAUCUCUCUACUCUCCAGUCUCAACUGCCGUCAACCGCUCAGCCACGCCAUGUCGCCACCAAUCGUCACUCUCAGCUGUCGUUUGUGUCUUGUCAAUUGUCACUCUCUCGCAGCAUGGCAGCAGUUGGCCUUCACUCUCAUCUUCAUCAGGUUAUAUUUGAAGGGUUUUUCUUGCUUCUCUUGGCUUUCUUGCUUCUCUUGGCUUUCUUUCUUCUGUGUUUCUUUUUUUUUAUUCUAAUUCCUAAUUCCUAGCCUACUAGUUUAGGAGUUUUCAUUUAAAAUAGUAUUGGAUGAUUGGUUUUAUUCUUUAAACUAAUUAUUUUUACUUGCAGGAUCUUUUAAGGAACAAAAAAAACCCAAACCACUUAUAUUUUAUCUUUGUGAAAUAUUUAUAGUAUGUCGGCGUAGGCCAUGAGUCGUGUAAAACUUUAAGGAAAAAAUUAGGUUAAAGGUAGCUAAAUCAAAAGUAAAAUACAACAUCAACUUUUAACCAUACAAAUGCUAAAUAUCUGUGAAAACCUAGGGUGUGUUUGGUACACUAUAUCCUAUACGUACUCUAUUGUAGUUCAUAAUAAUCUACAUGUAUUGUAUUAUAUUGUAUUGCAUUGGUACUGUAUAAUGUUAAUGUUGUACAUUAUUUGGUGUUAUAUUGUACUAUAUUAAUUUUUAACUAAACUAUGUUUGGUACUAUACUGCAUUGUACUAUAUUAACUUUUUUUUAUGGUUAAAAUUAUAUGUUUGGAAAAUAAUAUUUAUUAACUUUUGGGGAAAUACUAAGAGCCUGUUUGGUAUGGCUUAUUUAAGAGUUAUAAGUGUUUAUUUAAUUCCAUAAGCACUUUUUAAAAUUUUUAUGGUGUUUGAUUAUUUUUUUAGUAGAGUUUUUCUAGCUUAAAUAAGCUAAUUUACCUCUACUAGUAAAAACCUAAAAUUUGAGCUUUUAGGAGUAGAGGAUAGAGAGCUUUUCUAAAAAAUAUAUAAUAUCAAAAAUAUCUUUGACAUAUUUUAUUAAUUACAUAAUAUCCUUGUAUAAAACCUACCCAACAAAAAUUGUUGCCGCCACAUAAACAUACUGCUGUUGCCACUUCACUUAAUCUUUCUCUCUUUUUUUUUUAAUAACCAGCACUUUAAUUUUGCAAUCCCUAACCCAACACUUGAGAAAGCAAUCAUAGUCAAAGCCUUGAGGAGCAUGUCAGGUAAUGUUUCCUGCUACUUUUUCUUCUUUGUCUUUAUCAUAUUAUUCAAACCUUUUUCUUCUUUGUCUUUAUCAUGCACUUGAUAUGUAUUUGACCCAUGACCAAUUUAUUAUAAUAUUCAAUAGGUUUAUUGCCGCUGUUUAUCUUUUUUAAUUAUAUUAUUCAAUAUAAAUUCACUAACUUUGCUAACUCCCCCUUUUCAACCCGUAUCUUCUUUGUUCUGGAAACACGCCUGCCCAUACUUGCUACUCUUUUAUCUUUCUUUAUAUUAUAU
rnacentral:lncRNA from 1 species